GUGAAAUUUAGAAGGAGGUUUGAUAUUCUAUAGUAACUGGAAUUUGCUUUAUGAUUCUUACGUCUUGUCUUUUAUCUUCAAAUGAUUCAAUGUUUUUUAAAAAAAUGCUAAACAAUGUAUUGUAAUUAAAUACCUUAGAUUUUAAAAAUUUCCAAGUGGAUAUAGCAUAUUCAGACUCUGUACAUUUGAGUUGUUGCAAGGCUAGCUAGGCUAAAUAUGUUAGUGACCGAGUUGUGGUAUUAACAUAAACAUACCAUACAAGUACUAGCUUGACUGCCGAUUCAGUCUAUCUACAGUAUAAUGUAACUCUGUGUAUCCAAAAAUCUGUUUCGGCAAACGCACGAAAUGCAGUCCUAGUGGUGAAAAAAUACAAAAUUUUCUGGGGGUCCCAGAACCCCAUAUAUACAAUUGCAUACGAGACAACACCAAACCUUAUGUGACCAACAUGCAACCAUCUGUCAUCUCUCCACACUUAGUAUAAAAAAAACUUUU